GUUAACCUUUUAUAUUAAACCUACGCUAAUCAUAAGGGACUGUGGAGUUCAUUAUUGGCUGACAAGCCUCCAAAGAGUGGACGUCAAAAAAUGAUGACAGCAAACCCACCUUCACAAACAGAAGGUCUUUAAUCUUGAGGUUAAC
rnacentral:other from 1 species